ACCAAGACACCUGUAAGUAUUGCUAAAAAUGUAUAUAUUGUUUUAAGUCUGAGAUAUUAACUUGUACUUUAAUGCAUGCUUUCCAUGGAUUGGAAACGUUGUUAAUUCCACAUGUAGACGCUGUGCUUUAAUGUUGUAUUAAGUUACUAAUAACUUUUCUUUUUCUUUUUCAAGGAAAAAUGACAUCCAUCCGAGAGUGCCCAGUGUGCUUCAAUGAAUAUUCACAGCUGGGGAAGCACCUCCGGCAGACCCACAGGGUCAAAAACGAGACCGAGAGGAAGAUCCUCCUCAAGCUGGGCUCUGGGAGGACAGACGUCAGGACCGAACCAUGCGGUUUUGGCGGCUGUCAGUACCAGGGCUCCCGGCUUGACCGCCACAUCAGGGAAAUCCACUCAGAGAUGACUGUGGAGGCCAGGGAGCAAAUGAUGAAGACCACGAAACAAAUUAAGGCCAUCAAGGAGCUGUCGGCACUGAGGAUGACGGACCCGGUGCCGGCAAUGGCCACAUAUCUGGACCCGGUGGACGAGGACACUCAGGUCAUGUCGCUGGGAGAUGACGAGGCUCCCCUCGACUGCGGGAAUCCAGAUUGCAUGACAUUGAGGAGAGGAUACCUGAGGGACAAUGCCAGGCUGAGAAAUCUCUAUGAGCAGGCCCUCAUAGACAUGGGAGGCCUCCGGCUGCAGUUCCAGCUCCAGAAGCGAAAGCUCACGGAAUGUCGCUAUCAAGUGAUGAUACCACAUCGCAGGAGGGCAAAGAGGAGGAGAGAGGCUGCCGAAGAGCAGCUUCUGAUAAACUCCCAGUACUUGGAGGAGGAGGAGGACAUGGAUGUCGCUGCUGCUGCUGCUGCUGCUGCUCCUGCUCCUGCUCCUGCUGCUGCUGCUGCUGCUCCUGCUCCUGCUGCUGCUGCUGUGGCAGACCCAUCUGAGGAGGAAAGUAUGUGUGUCCCGGGUCUGAUGGUGGGCUUGCGACACCUGCAGUCCCCCUGGAUGGUUGGCAGCGGACGGUCCAACGUGAUGAGGA
rnacentral:lncRNA from 1 species